ACGAACGCUGGCGGCGUGCCUAAUACAUGCAAGUCGAACGCUUCUUUCCUCCCGAGUGCUUGCACUCAAUUGGAAAGAGGAGUGGCGGACGGGUGAGUAACACGUGGGUAACCUACCCAUCAGAGGGGGAUAACACUUGGAAACAGGUGCUAAUACCGCAUAACAGUUUAUGCCGCAUGGCAUAAGAGUGAAAGGCGCUUUCGGGUGUCGCUGAUGGAUGGACCCGCGGUGCAUUAGCUAGUUGGUGAGGUAACGGCUCACCAAGGCCACGAUGCAUAGCCGACCUGAGAGGGUGAUCGGCCACACUGGGACUGAGACACGGCCCAGACUCCUACGGGAGGCAGCAGUAGGGAAUCUUCGGCAAUGGACGAAAGUCUGACCGAGCAACGCCGCGUGAGUGAAGAAGGUGUUCGGAUCGUAAAACUCUGUUGUUAGAGAAGAACAAGGACGUUAGUAACUGAACGUCCCCUGACGGUAUCUAACCAGAAAGACACGGCUAACUACGUG
rnacentral:rRNA from 1 species